rnacentral:lncRNA from 1 species
UGGGAGAGACCUUAGCUCCACGCGUCAUGUCUCCCAAUUCCUCUGAUUUUAGCCUCAGCUGAUGGACAGUGCCACACAAGUUCUGAUUGACAGUUACUCACCUCAAGCAUACUCCAUACAUCUUUCUGCCAAGAACAUUCUGCAACAUUAUGAAGUCCAUGUGCCCUAUAUGCAAGUAAAGCCAGAAGUCCUGGAGUAAUACCUCCAGUAGCAGCCCCUAUUGGGAAACAGAAGCCAAAACUGAAGCUCAGAAAUGCUGUGCUUAUCAUUCAUGUUGUUCACCAAAGAGUUGUUUUAUGCGGACUUACGUCUUCAUCGUCUCCUUCACUGAGGUUGUAUGAAAAAAAUCUCUUGUUUCCCUCCAUGAAGCAUGAAUGGGCUCUUCAAUCUUAAACAAUCUGUCCAUCAGCUGAGGCUGAAAUCAGAGGAAUUGGGAGACAUGAUGCAAGGAGCUAAGAAAUAAGGAAAAAAACAACGGACUGGAUUUUCCUAGUUUCUACAGAUGCAAGAGCCAAAUGACUUUUGAGAUCAAGCUUCUCAAUACAAAGCCCAGAUCAAGCUUUUCAACACAAAAAGCCAUCAGCCUCAACAAAAUCCUAGGAAGCAGAAUUCAAGCAGUGAAGGAUAAUGUUUUGUUUAAGUUGUCAGUGUUCA